rnacentral:rRNA from 1 species
AGUGAACGCUGGCGGUAGGCCUAACACAUGCAAGUCGAACGGCAGCACAGUAAGAGCUUGCUCUUACGGGUGGCGAGUGGCGGAAGGGUGCGGAAUACACCGGAAUCUACUUUUUCGUGGGGGAUAACGUAGGGAAACUUACGCUAAUACCGCAUACGACCUACGGGUGAAAGCAGGGGAUCUUCGGACCUUGCGCGAUUGAAUGAGCCGAUGUCGGAUUAGGUAGUUGGCGGGGUAAAGGCCCACCAAGGCGACGAUCCGUAGCUGGUCUGAGAGGAUGAUCAGCCACACUGGAACUGAGACACGGUCCAGACUCCUACGGGAGGCAGCAGUGGGGAAUAUUGGACAAUGGGCGCAAGCCUGAUCCAGCCAUACCGCGUGGGUGAAGAAGGCCUUCGGGUUGUAAAGCCCUUUUGUUGGGAAAGAAAAGCAGCAGGUUAAUACCCCGCUGUUCUGACGGUACCCAAAGAAUAAGCACCGGCUAACUUCGUG